UACGUAGGGUGCAAGCGUUAUCCGGAUUUACUGGGUGUAAAGGGUGCGUAGCCGGAAAUGCAAGUCAGAUGUGAAAGCCCGAAGCUCAACUUCGGGACUGCAUUUGAAACUGUAUUUCUAGAGUGCAGGAGAGGAAAGUGGAAUUCCUAGUGUAGCGGUGAAAUGCGUAGAUAUUAGGAGGAACACCAGUGGCGAAGGCGACUUUCUGGACUGUAACUGACGGUGAGGCACGAAAGCGUGGGGAGCAAACAGG
rnacentral:rRNA from 1 species